GCAGUCCUGGGGCCUGCAGGGCCGGUGCAGCGGGUGUAGGAGGCGGCUCGCCGCUGGUUCCACCGCCCCGGGGACGCGCAGCGGCGGAGGGACAACUGUGAAUCUGCUGACCUGAGCACUGCAGGAAGACAUGAAUAUGGCACAGGAGACCUGUGCCACGGACAAUGCUAUUUAAGGCACAUGGUGAGUAUAGAAACCUAACAGGGUCAAACCUAAUCAAACUGUAUAAUGUGCACAGUUAAAGGUGAAUGCUGUAGGAUUUGCAGGUUAGUAGAAUUAAUUCAAUAUAUGCAGAUUCCUACCUGCUUCACUAUGUUCUAUACAAGUGUGCUAGUUUGAAGCUAGCUGGAUGUUUUGGUGAGAGGAAUUAGAUGCUAGGCUGUGAAAAGGAAACAAUGGUGAUGGCUGCUGCACUCGUAGGCUUGCUGAGAUAAACAUAGAUAACAGAGUUGCGCUCUGGGCUUUGGAGCUGCAUGAACUUCUCUCUCUAAUCUAACUUGCUGCCUAAUCCAUCUCCUUCCUAACCCCCCAGCCUACCUUCCAAACUCACCUUGCAUGUCAGGCAAAGUCUGGGGUAAGGUAGAAGGGUGGGAAAAGGUGGAAGGGUGGUUGGGAGCUCCUCCUGGGCACUAAGGUUUCUGGGAGGGCUGUUGCAUUUCUGUAUUACUUUUUAACUUGUCUAUUUCUGUCUAUAGCUGUAGAUAUAUUGUCAAUACUUGCUUGUAUCUUGUGCUAAGCUGUAAAUAUAAAGCUUCAUUCAAUUUCCA